rnacentral:rRNA from 1 species
GACGGAGGAUGCAAGCGUUAUCCGGAAUUAUUGGGCGUAAAGCGUCCGCAGGUGGACAUACAAGUCUGCUGUCAAAGUGCAGAGCUUAACUCUGUAAAGGCGGUGGAAACUGUAGGUCUUGAGUAUGGUAGGGGUAGAGGGAAUUCCCGGUGUAGCGGUGAAAUGCGUAGAUAUCGGGAAGAACACCAGUGGCGAAAGCGCUCUACUGGGCCAUAACUGACACUGAGGGACGAAAGCGUGGGGAGCGAACAGG